GGAUGUGGGUGAGGGCCGGGGAGGAGAGGGCAGCCCCCUUCCUGACCUACAGCCAGGCCCCAGGGUGCCCAGAGGAAGAGCAUGGUGGGUAACCAUCCCUCUCCUCCUUCCAGACUCACUCAGAGCUCCAGCCCUUGGGAGAUGCAACCACCAGUCAGAAUGAGACCCCCAACUCCAGGUUUGACUUCCCAGGACAGACACUAGGCAGGACUUGGCGUGAGAGGGACACUCUUCUGUGAGCUAGGAGAACAAUGGAGAAAGGGAACCAGUCACACGAGGUUUAAUACCAUGGAUACACUACUUCUAUUUAUGUUCUCUGGCUCCUCGGAAAUGGACGCCUUGCAUUGCAUCUGUGGGGCGCCCCCGAGAGUGCUCCACGACCCCGGAGGAAAGGUGUGCCAGUUUGAAGCCCAUUGCUCCCGCCGAGGAGUUGCUCCUCCUCAACCAUCCAGACUCUUUUCUGGCCAGAAAGUCUCUUCCCGCCUUCUCCUUCUCUACCUCUACUCCAGAUCCCACACACUUCCUUCCCCAACACCUCCCACAGCCCCUUCUGGCCUCGCAACAAGGUAUCGAAAGUUCCUUGUGCCACAGGGGGAUGGUCCUCUUUGAGUGCAGGGAGCCAACAUUAAUGAAAGAAUCGACUGACUGAGACUUGCCUUCUUCCCUGAAACC